UACGAACCGUGCGAACGUUGUUCGGAAUCACUGGGCGUAAAGCGUGCGCAGGCGGUGAUGUAAGACCGAUGUGAAAUCCCCGGGCUUAACCUGGGAACUGCAUUGGUGACUGCAUUGCUGGAGUAUGGCAGAGGGGGGUGGAAUUCCACGUGUAGCAGUGAAAUGCGUAGAGAUGUGGAGGAACACCGAUGGCGAAGGCAGCCCCCUGGGCCAAUACUGACGCUCAUGCACGAAAGCGUGGGGAGCAAACAGG
rnacentral:rRNA from 1 species